rnacentral:rRNA from 1 species
AGAGUUUGAUCCYGGCUCARGACGAACGCUGGCGGCGUGCCUAAUACAUGCAAGUCGAACGGUCUUUUCUAUGGAAGCUUGCUUCCACUGAGAAGAUAGUGGCGAACGGGUGAGUAACACGUGGGUAACCUGCCCAUAAGAGGGGGAUAACAUCCGGAAACGGGUGCUAAUACCGCAUAGUUUUCUUGAUCGCAUGAUCGAGAAAGGAAGGACGGCCUUUGUGCUGUCGCUUAUGGAUGGACCCGCGGCGUAUUAGUUAGUUGGUGAGGUAAUGGCUCACCAAGACGAUGAUACGUAGCCGACCUGAGAGGGUGAUCGGCCACAUUGGGACUGAGACACGGCCCAAACUCCUACGGGAGGCAGCAGUAGGGAAUCUUCCGCAAUGGACGAAAGUCUGACGGAGCAACGCCGCGUGAGUGAAGAAGGUUUUCGGAUCGUAAAACUCUGUUGUCAGAGAAGAACAAGUCGGAGAGUAACUGCUCCGGCCUUGACGGUAUCUGACCAGAAAGCCACGGCUAACUACGUGCCAGCAGCCGCGGUAAUACGUAGGUGGCAAGCGUUGUCCGGAUUUAUUGGGCGUAAAGCGAGCGCAGGCGGUUCCUUAAGUCUGAUGUGAAAGCCCACGGCUCAACCGUGGAAGGUCAUUGGAAACUGGGGAACUUGAGUGCAGAAGAGGAGAGUGGAAUUCCAUGUGUAGCGGUGAAAUGCGUAGAUAUAUGGAGGAACACCAGUGGCGAAAGCGACUCUCUGGUCUGUAACUGACGCUGAGGCUCGAAAGCGUGGGGAGCAAACAGGAUUAGAUACCCUGGUAGUCCACGCCGUAAACGAUGAGUGCUAAGUGUUGGAGGGUUUCCACCCUUCAGUGCUGCAGCUAACGCAUUAAGCACUCCGCCUGGGAGUACGGCGCAAGGCUGAACUCAAGGAAUUGACGGG